GGGUCCGUAGCUCAGUUGGGAGAGCGCUGCCUUCGCAUGGCAGAGGUCGCGCGUUCGAAUCGCGUCGGAUCCA
rnacentral:tRNA from 2 species